AGAAUCAACGCUGGCGGCGUGCCUCAGACAUGCAAGUCGAACGCGAAAGUCCCCUUCGGGGGGACAAGUAGAGUGGCGCACGGGUGAGUAACACGUAGGUAAUCUACCUUCGGAUGGGGAAUAACAAUCGGAAACGGUUGCUAAUACCGCAUAAUGCAGCGGCACCUAAUGGUGACAGGUUGUUAAAGCGGGGGAUACGAAAGACCUCGCGUCUAGAACGAGGAGCCUGCGGCGGUAUUAGCUAGUGGUAGUAAUGGCUUACAGGCUACGAUCCGUAACGCCUGAGAGGGCGGUCGGUCAACGACUCGACACGUGACAGUACGGGCAGACUCGUACGGAGGCAGCAGUCGGAAUUUGGGCAAGU
rnacentral:rRNA from 1 species